GUGCUUUCUUUGGCAGCACAUAUACUAAAAUUUGAAUGAUACAAAGAACAUUAUCAUGGCCCCUGCACAAACAUGGCACACAAAUUCAUGAAGCGUUUAUGCAUUUU
ensembl:snRNA U6 U6 spliceosomal RNA